ACCUGGACCCUCGCCCAGACCCUCACCCCGACCCGGAGCCGGACCCCGACCCCGACCCGGAGCCGGACCCGGGGCCAGGCCCGGACCCUGACCCAGACCCGGACCCUCACCCCGACCCGGACCCGAACCCGAACCCAAACCCUGACCCCGAUACGGACCCCGACGCCCACCCAGACCCGGAACCGUGAGCCCUGUCUGGACCCUGACUUUGAUCCCCGCAGGUGCGGCCUGAAACGUGGGCUUUCUGAGCUCCUUUGGAGAGGGCUCGACUCUGAACAUUGCCUGAGGCUGACCUGGAGGAGGGGCGUCUGAGGUUCGGGGAAGAGCUUCCCGUUUCGGCACCGCCGGCAAAAGCACCGAGAGGGAGACACCCAGGGACUCGGGCGGCACCUGGCAGCUCGUCUGUGGGCUCAGCAGACGCCUCCCGGAUAAAUGAAGGGAUGGAUCCCGCUAAGCGUGGGGGUGACUUGCCCCGCUCCGCCCGGCCGGCACUGCGUGUCCCGCGACCUUCCGUCUUUGCCGAGGUCCUCACGCUUGUUUCAGGGCAGAGUCCUGCUUUCAGAUGAGCAGGGCCGCUGUGGCCGCGUCUGCGUUUGGGUCUCUGCAGCCUGCACGGGACCCUCAGAGGCCUCGGGCGGGUCUCCCCCGCGCGGGUGAGACGUGCUGCCCCAUGUGUAGAGGAUUCAAAAGCAGCA